GGAUUAGAUACCCUGGUAGUCCACGCUGUAAACGAUGAACACUAGACGCUGGGAGGGACUACCUUUCGGUGUCGCAGCUAACGCGUUAAGUGUUCCGCCUGGGGAGUACGGCCGCAAGGUUGAAACUCAAAGGAAUUGACGGGGGCCCGCACAAGCGGUGGAGCAUGUGGUUUAAUUCGAUGCAACGCGCAGAACCUUACCUGCCUUUGACAGCCGGGGAACUUGACCGAGAGGUUGAGGUGCCGCAAGGAACCCCGAGACAGGUGCUGCAUGGCUGUCGUCAGCUCGUGCCG
rnacentral:rRNA from 1 species